rnacentral:lncRNA from 1 species
UAACAAACUCUGAAUAAAUAGACUUUGCUUAUUCUCAUUUGGAUAGUCUUUGUCUAUUUCCACACUUCUAUGCACCCAGCAUUGUUCUGGGUGCUGGAAAUAAUAUUGAACAAGGCAGGAAAAUAUCUCUGCCCUUAUGGGGCUAAUAUACUUUUGGGAGAGACAGACAAUAAGCAAGGAGAGAAAUUAAGUAAGCAUUAUGAUAAUAAACUACUAUGAAGGAAAUAAGACAGGAUGAUGUAAUUGAUUGGGGGUGGAUACUGUUAUACUGAAUAACGAAGAAAAACUUCCUUGAGGAGGCGACAUUUCAGUUGAAAGCUAAGAGGUAAAGAAGAGCCAGUCUUGUGAAUUGCUGGGGGAAGAGACUCCAGGUUGAAGGAAAGGUCUGAGAUUCUCAAAACAUGGAACAAGGAAUAAUAGUGUUAUAUCAAGAAGCUUUAGAUGGUAAAUAGACAUGGCAUCAAACAGUGCUGAAACGUGCUAGCUGCCAUGUUGUGAGAAGAGGCUCAAAUGGUGAGGAUCUGAGGCACCUGUCCAACAUCCAUUGAGGAACUGAAGCAUCUUGCCAGGCGCCAUGUGAGUGAGCUUGGAAGCAUUUCCUCCCACCCCAGCCAAGUCUUCGGAUGACUGCUGCCCCAGCCAACAUCUGGACCAUAAUCUCAUCAGAGACCCUGAGCCAGAACCAUCCAGCUGAGCUGCUACCAAAUUCUUGAUCCACAGGGAGUGUGAGGAGAAUAAAUGUUUGUUAUUUUAAGCCAC